rnacentral:rRNA from 1 species
AUGCGCGCCGCGGCCGCCGUCGAAGCUGCCACCGGCGCUGCCCGCCGCCAUCUUGGCGGGGAGCUCGGUGGGGAAGAAGGCGGAGGUGCCCUCCUUCAUCGGCGGCGUGGCGAAGGCGACGCUGCCGUCCCCCAUGGGGCGGAAAUUGAAUCGGCUGUGCACGGAGCCGUUGGUGCCCUCCCCGGCGGCGUAGAUGUCGGUGGAGUUGUGCGUGAGGGAGCAGCUGGGGUUGUGCGAGAACAUGGAGUAGGAGUAGGACAUGUCGUCGGAGUUGAUGCUCCGGGUGCGGCCCGUGGUGGCGCUGUAGGUCCGCCUUGGGGGCGGCGCGGCGGCGGCGCCGGCCGACGCGGC